UUGUGGGACUCCUAACAGCAGGGGUAGGAGCUGUCUCUGACUGUGUUGCCUGCUUUUGGGACUCUUUCCCC
ensembl:miRNA